rnacentral:rRNA from 1 species
CCUACGGGAGGCUGCAGUAGGGAAUCUUCCACAAUGGGCGAAAGCCUGAUGGAGCAACGCCGCGUGGGUGAAGAAGGUCUUCGGAUCGUAAAACCCUGUUGUUAGAGAAGAAAGUGCGUGAGCGUAACUGUUCACGUUUCGACGGUAUCUAACCAGAUAGCCACGGCGAACUACGGGCCAGCAGCAGCGGUAAUACGUAGGUGGCAAGCGUUAUCCGGUUUUAUUGGGGGUAAAGGGAACGCAGGCGGUCUUUUAAGGCUGAUGUGAAAGCCUUCGGCUUAACCGGAGUAGUGCAUUGGAAACUGGGAGACUUGAGUGCGGAAGAGGAGAGUGGAACUCGAUGUGUAGCGGUGAAAUGCGUAGAUAUAUGGAAGAACACCGGUGGCGAAGGCAGCUCGCUGGUCUGUAACUGACGCUGAGGUUCGAAAGCGUGGGUAGCAAACAGGAUUAGAUACCCCAGUAGUC